ensembl:snoRNA SNORA62 Small nucleolar RNA SNORA62/SNORA6 family
CCUGAACAUGGUUAGAGCUGGAAGUUGAGGCCCCUGGCUGGCUGAUGAACUCACAAGUGUAGGCAGUGUGCUACUUGAGGGUACCACAAGGGUCUCUGGCCCAGUGAGUGGAGUUUGAUAGUAGUUCUUGCUAUAAGU